rnacentral:rRNA from 1 species
AGAGCGAACGCUGGCGGCAGGCCUAACACAUGCAAGUCGAACGGACUCUUCGGAGUUAGUGGCGGACGGGUGAGUAACACGUGGGAACGUGCCUUUAGGUUCGGAAUAGCUCCUGGAAACGGGUGGUAAUACCGAAUGUGCCCUUCGGGGGAAAGAUUUAUCGCCUUUAGAGCGGCCCGCGUCUGAUUAGCUUGUUGGUGAGGUAAUGGCUCACCAAGGCUACGAUCAGUAGCUGGUCUGAGGAGGAUGACCAGCCAC